rnacentral:rRNA from 3 species
GGCGGCACUAGCGCGGUGGUCCCACCUGACCCCAUGCCGAACUCAGAAGUGAAACGCCGUAGCGCCGAUGGUAGUGUGGGGUCUCCCCAUGCGAGAGUAGGGAACUGCCAGAC